rnacentral:rRNA from 1 species
UACUCGAGUGGCGAACGGGUGAGUAACACGUGGGUGAUCUGCCCUGCGCUUCGGGAUAAGCUUGGGAAACUGGGUCUAAUACCGGAUAGGAGCCAUCUUUAGUGUGGUGGUUGGAAAGUUUUUUCGGUGUAGGAUGAGCUCGCGGCCUAUCAGCUUGUUGGUGGGGUAAUGGCCUACCAAGGCGGCGACGGGUAGCCGGCCUGAGAGGGUGUACGGCCACAUUGGGACUGAGAUACGGCCCAG